AGUGAACGCUGGCGGUAGGCCUAACACAUGCAAGUCGAACGGCAGCACAGUAAGAGCUUGCUCUUACGGGUGGCGAGUGGCGGACGGGUGAGGAAUACAUCGGAAUCUACUUUUUCGUGGGGGAUAACGUAGGGAAACUUACGCUAACACCGCAUACGACCUACGGGUGAAAGCAGGGGAUCUUCGGACCUUGCGCGAUUGAAUGAGCCGAUGUCGGAUUAGCUAGUUGGCGGGGUAAAGGCCCACCAAGGCGACGAUCCGUAGCUGGUCUGAGAGGAUGAUCAGCCACACUGGAACUGAGACACGGUCCAGACCCCUCCGGGAGGCAGCAGUGGGGAAUAUUGGACAAUGGGCGCAAGCCUGAUCCAGCCAUACCGCGUGGGGGAAGAAGGCCUUCGGGUUGUAAAGCCCUUUUGUUGGGAAAGAAAAGCAGCAGGUUAAUACCCCGCUGUUCUGACGGUACCCAAAGAAUAAGCACCGGCUAACUUCGUG
rnacentral:rRNA from 1 species